rnacentral:rRNA from 1 species
UGAGGAAUAUUGGGCAAUGCCCGCAAGGGUGACCCAGCAACGCCGCGUGGAGGAUGAAUGUCGUAAGAUUGUAAACUCCUGUUAGAAGGGAAGAAUAACUAAGUUUGGAGCUUAGUAUGACUGUACCCUCAGAGAAAGCCCCGGCUAACUACGUGCCAGCAGCCGCGGUAAUACGAAGGGGGCUAGCGUUGCUCGGAAUUACUGGGCGUAAAGCGCACGUAGGCGGACUUUUAAGUCGAGGGUGAAAUCCUGGAGCUCAACUCCAGAACUGCCUUCGAAACUGAAAGUCUUGAGUUCGGGAGAGGUGAGUGGAACUGCGAGUGUAGAGGUGAAAUUCGUAGAUAUUCGCAAGAACACCUGUGUCGAAGGCGGCUCACUGGCCCGAUACUGACGCUGAGGUGCGAAAGCGUGGGGAGCAAACA